UGUUGAUGGUCUUUAUAUUUUGUUAUGUUUUGCAGUGGCUGGUACCAGUUUUUCCUUUCCAUAAUUUGUGCUUACAAGAGGAGCUCUUGUAAGCAAACAUCUUCCAUAUCAUAACAGGAGAGUGUAAGGUGGAAUUUAUGAAUUGAUGAAGGUUGCCUUUCCCAAAGCUAAAGGUGAAUUUGAUCUGAAAUGGUAGAGAUCUUUUCUGUGGCAAGUAAGUUUUUAUUCCAGAGGUAAAGGAGUAAGAAUAUCAGAAAUGAAGGCAUGAAUGCUUUAAUAUCUCACUAUAGGUUCUAUUUGUAGAAGGUAACAAAGCCAGAACAUUAUUGUUAAAAUGUUAUUAAAGGUAUAUCUAAAUAGAAUACAUUUUCUUCUAGUUAUGAGAUACAGUUGACACAAAGGAGAUUAAGACAUAUGAAUGAAAUUUAAGCCCAUUUAAAUUAUUUGCCUUAUAGCUGAAACUUAUAAAGUUUGUUUCAUUUGGUUGUGGUAGAGACUGUGAUAUUGUGCCCAUUUGUUUGUUGUUUUCUUUGUAAGAGGAUUGCAUAUUCCUACUCAUUGUUAUCAGAGC
rnacentral:lncRNA from 1 species